UGGGUAGCUCAGUUGAUUAGAGCAUGGUGCUGGAUAAUGCCAAGGCUGCAGGUUCGAUUCCUGUAUAGGACAA